UUAAAAGGCCUAAAACACACAGAGCCUCUUUGUCUACAAGUCUGCUGUGAAAAAAGGCCUGUAACCUGUAACCUGACACCCUGAGCUGUGUGAGUGAAAAAGUCGAGAAUUGCGCAAUAAAUCCUUUGCGGAACUUUUUUGCGCAGCCUGAGGCCUCGGAGACGUGGCAUGUUGCAUACCGUUGGAAUCGUCUCCUUAUUGGCUAAAGAGCUGUAGAGGUCCCGGACCAUUUCAUUGCUAUUGGAAGGAGCAACUGUCAGUCAAAUGGAGGGUUCCCACAUAGGAUGUAAAGACAUCAUUGGCUUCUCAGCCGUGAAUCUCUGCACUACAAGCGCCGAUUGGCUCAAGUGAGGGCUUGUUUGAUUCAUUAGGCCCCGGGCUACAAAUAUGAUGCAUCAGUGUAAUUUUCAAAAUCUCCAAUGAGAAGUUAGAGCCGAAAAAAAGAUGGAGGGGCACUACUGUUUCCAGUUUUCGGGUCACAAACGGAAUAUUUGCGAGGCGACCAAAGCGUUUUGGAUAAAAGGCUUACAGAUUCCAGUUUCUUGGACCUUUGCGGAUUUUUGUGAAGCAUUUGUUUUGGAAAAUAUUACCCCAGUGAAGAAAGGGAAGUUUCUAAAGGUCCCAUUCCCUGGUGCCCAGCCCUGAUAGCAGAUUAUUGAUCCAACAACCCAGAACCAGACAAGCUGGGCGCAGUCGUGACGCAGGCCGAGCCACACGUGUUCAGUGGAGGCGUUUUGAGUCACUUCCUUCACCCAGAGCUGCAUCUCCUCGGUGCGCACUGACACCAGGUCAUGAUGAUGGUUCCUGCAGUAUGUCAGAGCUUCCCACCAGGUCAGAUUCUCCUUAAUCAGGAUCAGUUUAUCUGGAUAAAAGAUGCAACAUUCAAUAAAAGCUAAAGUGAACAUUUACAACCCAAUAGUUUUUCAUCUUUUAUUUAGCCGAAGAUUUAAACAGGAAUCUGGAUAUAAUAUCCUGAAAAUAUUGUUAAUGUGAAUAUUUUGUUCUGCAAAUAUUAUUAAAAAGUUUAAUUAUCUCUCUCAUA